UCUAACAACACCGGAAGUUUCAAGAUGCCAUGGGUUCAUCAAUUUAAUCGCAUGCUCAACACUAAGUGCCCGAUGCUCUUGGAAAGAUUGAGCAUAGAUGAUUGUGGGAUGAUAGAGGAAAUCAUAGCGUGUGAGGCCGAAGAAAUGCAGGGCGGCAUUGUAUUUCCCAAACUGCAGUAUUUGCAACUAAGCUGUCUGCCAUGUCUAGCAAGCUUUUCCUUGGCCCAUCACUCGUUGGAAUUCCCAGUCUUGCUAAUGGUGAAGGUGACAAAGUGUCCCAAAAUGAGGAAUUUCUGCCAAGGAGAUUUAAGCACACGAAGGCUGGAACAAAUGCACUUAACAAGAGAUGAGGAAGGAGAACAGCAGUGGGAAGGCGACCUUAACACUACCAUAAAACAUAUGUUCGAUGAAAUGAAUGUGCAAAAUUCUGAGGUGACGGAGGUUACUGAUCAGUUGCCCAAGUUGGAAUAAGGAAAUAUGUAUGGGUGCUUAUGCGAAAAGCUCAGUUUCGUUUCAAAUCAAAACAAAUGGUUGAGUUGCUCUACUGAAGCACAUGGCUGCAUCUGUUGGUAGAACGUGAAAUGUUAUUUCAGUUUUUGUAAAACUACAAUUUGAACUGUUCUAUUUCACAACAUAACCUCAAUAUUGAAUUUCAAGUGCAUCAUGCAUGACAUUGGGAACUACAAACAUGCAAACUUUUACUAGUAAGGUUGACCCCUGUUUUAAUAUUCCAAUUCUUCUUAAAGGUGGAUGGAUUUGCCAACUUUUGAUGGUUACCAUAUCAAUAUCAGCUUGUGGUUUAGACGAUGU